UACGAAGGGGGCUAGCGUUGCUCGGAAUCACUGGGCGUAAAGGGCGCGUAGGCGGAUCUUUAAGUCAGGGGUGAAAGCCUGAGGCUCAACCUCAGAAUUGCCUUUGAUACUGAAGAUCUCGAGACCGGAAGAGGUAAGUGGAACUGCGAGUGUAGAGGUGAAAUUCGUAGAUAUCGGGAGGAACACCAGUGGCGAAGGCGGCUCUCUGGACAGGUACUGACACUGAGACGCGAAAGCGUGGGUAGCAAACAGG
rnacentral:rRNA from 1 species